rnacentral:antisense_RNA from 1 species
UUUGACCGAGCCCAGCCGCAGGGGCCGGUCGGCCGUCCUGGUCUCGCCAUAGGUGGCGAUGACGGCCUCGGCCUC